rnacentral:rRNA from 1 species
GAUCGGAUCAAGCGCGAGAAGGGCGUUUGGUGGAUGCCUUGGCAGCAAGAGGCGAUGAAGGACGUGAUACCCUGCGAUAAGUUCUGGGGAGCCGGGAAUAGGCUUUGAUCCAGGAAUCUCCGAAUGGGGCAACCCACCUGACACUUCAUUGCUGUGACCUUUGCGGGUCACAGCAGCGAGGUGAACCAGGUAUCUUUGACCUGAAUACAUAGGGACAAAGAAGCAAACCCGGGGAACUGAAACAUCUCAGUACCUGGAGGAAAGGACAUCAAUAGAGACUCCGUUAGUAGUGGCGAGCGAACGCGGACCAGCCGAGCCUUGAGAGUGACCAGAACCAUCUGGGAAGGUGGGCCAUAGCGGGUGACAGCCCCGUAUGGGAAGCUCGACGUGACGCAUUAAGUAGGGCGGGACACGUGCAAUCCUGUCUGAAGAUCGGGGGACCACCCUCGAAGGCUAAGUACUCCUUGCUGACCGAUAGCGAACCAGUACCGUGAGGGAAAGGUGAAAAGCACCCCGACGAGGGGAGUGAAACAGUUCCUGAAACCGGACGCCUACAAGCAGUCGGAGCCUCCUUGAGGGGUGACGGCGUACCUUUUGUAUAAUGGGUCAUCGACUUGGUCUCACGAGCAAGCUUAAGCCGAUAGGUGGAGGCGCAGCGAAAGCGAGUCUUAAUAGGGCGAAUGAGUUCGUGGGAUCAGACCCGAAACCGAGUGAUCUAGCCAUGGCCAGGCUGAAGGCUGGGUAACACCAGCUGGAGGGCCGAACCCACACCUGUUGAAAAAGGUCGGGAUGAGCUGUGGCUAGGGGUGAAAGGCUAAUCAAACUCGGAGAUAGCUGGUUCUCUGCGAAAUCUAUUUAGGUAGAGCGUCGGCCGAAUGCCCUCGGGGGUAGAGCACUGGAUGGGUGAUGGGGUCCCACAGACUUACUGAGCCUAACCAAACUCCGAAUACCGAGGAGCACUAGCCGGCAGACAGACAUCGGGUGCUAACGUCCGGUGUCGAGAGGGAAACAACCCUGACCUCCAGCUAAGGCCCCCAAUUCACGGCUAAGUGGGAAAGCAGGUGGGACGACCAAAACAACCAGGAGGUUGGCUUAGAAGCAGCCAUCCUUUAAAGAUAGCGUAACAGCUCACUGGUCUAGAUAAGUUGUCCUGCGGCGAAGAUGUAACGGGGCUCAAGCCGUGAGCCGAAGCUGAGGAUGCAUGCAGCGAUGCGUGCGUGGUAGCAGAGCGUGGUGUGAUAGCGUCUCGCGCCUCUUUUGCAGGAGUUCCUGCACAGGAGGCUUGAGGCCGUCGAUGAAGCUGGGGCGUGAGCCAUCCGGUGGAGAGAUCACCAGUGAGAAUGAUGACAUGAGUAGCGACAAACAGGGUGAGAAACCCUGUCGCCGAAAGUCCAAGGGUUCCUGCUUAAAGCUAAUCUGAGCAGGGUGAGCCGACCCCUAAGGCGAGGCCGAGAGGCGUAGUCGAUGGGAACCGGGUUAAUAUUCCCGGGCCAGGAGGAUGUGACGGAUCGCAGGUGUAGUUUGCCCUUAUCGGAUUGGGCGGGCUGCUGAGCGGUUCCUGGAAAUAGCCCUCCAUGAGAUCGUACCCUAAACCGACACAGGUGGACUGGUAGAGAAUACCAAGGCGCUUGAGAGAACCACAUCAAAGGAACUCGGCAAAAUGCCUCCGUAAGUUCGCGAGAAGGAGGCCCCGUCUGUACGCAAGUAUGGGCGGGGGGCACAAACUAGGGGGUGGCGACUGUUUACUUAAAACACAGGGCUCUGCGAAGCCGUAAGGCGACGUAUAGGGUCUGACGCCUGCCCGGUGCUGGAAGGUUAAAAGGAGGGGUGCAAGCUCUGAAUUGAAGCCCCAGUAAACGGCGGCCGUAACUAUAACGGUCCUAAGGUAGCGAAAUUCCUUGUCGGGUAAGUUCCGACCUGCACGAAUGGCGUAACGAUCUCCCCGCUGUCUCUGAUGUGGACUCAGCGAAAUUGAACUGUGUGUCAAGAUGCACACUUCCCGCGGUUAGACGGAAAGACCCCAUGCACCUUUACUAUAGCUUCGCACUGGCAUCAGGAUUGUGAUGUGCAGGAUAGGUGGUAGGCAUCGAAGCGGGGACGCUAGUUCCCGUGGAGCCUCCCUUGAGAUACCACCCUUCGCACUCUUGAUGUCUAACCGCGGCCCGUUAUCCGGGUCCGGGACCCUGCGUGGUGGGUAGUUUGACUGGGGCGGUCGCCUCCCAAAUCGUAACGGAGGCGCGCGAAGGUAGGCUCAGAGCGGUCGGAAAUCGCUCGUUGAGUGCAAUGGCAGAAGCCUGCCUGACUGCAAGACUGACAAGUCGAGCAGAGACGAAAGUCGGUCAUAGUGAUCCGGUGGUCCCAAGUGGGAGGGCCAUCGCUCAACGGAUAAAAGGUACGCUGGGGAUAACAGGCUGAUGAUGCCCAAGAGUCCAUAUCGACGGCAUCGUUUGGCACCUCGAUGUCGGCUCAUCUCAUCCUGGGGCUGGAGCAGGUCCCAAGGGUAUGGCUGUUCGCCA